GUAGCAGAUGAGCUGGCCUCUGCAGGUGCUGGAGUGGUCUGGCUGAUUUAACUCCUUCUAGGCUGUUUUAGCCUGCAAAGGAAAGAGUUUCCAUGUGUGAUUCCAAGAUGCAAAUCAGCUGUAUUACUGGAGGAAAAGAAAAGAACUGUGGGCCUUACGCUUUUGAACUUAAAUGCUAAUAGCUGAAAUCAGCUGUUUUGGCAUUUCACAGUCUGGGAGCAGCAGAUUAAAAGGUUCUUUGGGAAACCAUUCCUAGUGUAGUCCUGCCUGGCUGGAACAAACAUUUCCCAGAGGAGCUGAGCAUACAGGUUGAAUUGGACAGGAGGAGGUGAUCCUGUAGGUAACCUGGACCCAAACCAUGUAGGAAUUUAAAGAUGGCCAGCCAAGAGGGACAGGGAUCAAGAAAACAAGUUGUCUUCCUUGCUUGUCCCAGCAGCUUGUCCAUAUCAACAGUACUCACCAGUUGAAACUGAUCCAGUGUAAUCCCACUCACAGAGUCACUGGACACCUCAUUAUUGACUUCCACUCCAAUGAUGGCAUUUACGUCACCAUUUAUGUGAGAGAUUUUAUCUGCAAAAUGAUUAUUAAAAUUGUCACAGUAAGCUACUUAAGUUUCUAAGGCUGGAUUCAGGGGUGAGUGCCUGAGUUAGACAUCUCACCACCCUGAACAGAUUGGGUGGAUGCGAAUUUGCAGAUGCAGUAUGUACGAAAAAACAGGCUUCCUUUGAUGCAAAUACUGCCACUUUAUAGGAACAAAGAUGUUCUCUUUGUUCCCACCUUGAAUCCCAUUGUGGGAGAAAGGUGGGAUAUGAAUCCUUUAAAUAAAUAAAAAUCAUGUCUUGUCGCAUAGAAGUCAAGUUUUCUGCCACCUAUGCUCUAGUUGUUGUCCUUAGUGUUUCAGCUCCCUGGAGGGUCUCUUUAUAUUGAGGAGCUUGUUUGUGAAUGGAUCAGAGAGGACAUUUGGGUGGGCAGCUGUGUCAAUAACCCUGGUUAGAUUUUGGUUCCAUUUAUCAACCAGGACUUCAACAGGAUCGCUGGUUCGUUAUUAUUUUCCACUACAAAGCUUAACAUUUUUAUUUGUUGUUCAAAGCUAUGUGCUAUCAGUGUUAAAAAAAUAACUAGUUAAAUUUCACUAGUAAUUUGCUCACCUGUCCAACACACACACACGCUUGUGAGGCUUCAUAAAUUAAUUUCUGGAUAACAACACUCAUUUUUUAUUUUAUUUCAUUUCUUCACUGUUGUGGUGCUGUGCAAGAGGUUUUGCUUGUUAUUUAUUGGAAAGGGUAUGUAUGUUUUCUAGUUAAUAGGAGGACAGUAUAGAGAACUGAGGUUGUUACAAAUUAGAGAUGUGAAUUUCACUCUUGCAUAACAUAACAUUUUUCUUCAUGUAUCGUGUUUUUUUUAAUUCCAAGAGAAUGGUAAAGGAUGCAGUUAUCUGAUGGUGCAGAAAAAAUAUCUUCACAUGCUCAGAGGCACUCAAAAUAUUUCUGACUAGUUGUUACACCCAAUGUUGUGCCAGAUAACCAGUCCCAUUGACUGGAUACCAUUCCCAGUCAUUAAUUUUGUUGAUGAUUGUUCAGUUUGAACUGCUCUGGAAGCUAAGUGCUUAUACCUUUAAGAGCUGAAAUGUCCUCAUGUUGCAAAUCACUCUCAAUUGCUCUUGAAAGAGCUUGCCUUUCCCAGUCAGUCACCGAACAUACUACUCUGUAUGAAUGAAAAAUUAAUGAGGGGGUAACACAGGCUCAUCCAAUUGAAUUUUAUGUAUGUCAUGCAGCCUAUAUGUGUGUCAUGUAGCCUUUAUUUUAAGUCAAACGACCCCAAACAUAUCAUCCAAAUUUGCUGAAUAUCCAUUCAGAUGGUUUUUGGGUGAUGUGGUAACAGAUACGCAGACAGAAAUUUAAUUUUAUUUAUAUAAAGAUUGCUCCUCCUUUGCAUUGGUUAAAUUCUGUAUCUACUUAUUUCUGCACUUCAACAUUGUAGUGAGUCAGUGCCCUCCAGCUGGAAUGGACAUAUUUUUAUUCAACUUUUCCAGUCUGGACAAACAAUAUGGAGUGUUUGGGUUUUGUUGUUACCUCUUUUUUGGUUUUGAAAUAAUCAAUGAAAAGCAAUAUUAGCCAUAAACCUUUCCUGAACAUUUUCCAACCAUUUGAUAUCUUUGUAAUUGUGAUAAUCCUUUAAUUUGCCAAACACUGAUCCAUUGGUUAUAGUUUAAUUAAUGUCUCUAUUUAAUGUAAUUGAAAACAGUGAUUUGCAGUAGGGAAUAUUUUGGCUUCUGUUCAGUGAUUACAUGGGUAUAUUUCCUUGAUGCAGACCUGGUAUAAUUAUAAUAGGCAACAGUUCUGGCAAUUAACUGUGCAUGAAAUAAUACCAUUUGUGUCAUACCUGGAAAUGAUGUUCAAUUUUUUUUGAUAUUAAUAUGGACAAGCCAAAGUACAAUUGAAACCCAUUAUGCCCUAAACUAACAUGCAUCAAACUCUGAGGAGGAGGAGCUAGUGAUACAGUGUACUCAAAACAGAAAAGAAAAGAAAAAAGCUUUGCCAGGUUUCUGAACAGUAGAGUGCUGAUACAAGCCUUUCUGUUUUCAGGCAGGUCAAUCUGGAUCCAUUAAAGAAAGCCACUGGGGUAGAGAAACAACAGGUUGGGAAAGUGUUAAUUGCCCUAUGCUGCAGUGCUGUGUGACAUCUUGCCCACAUACCGUCCACCCCGUUGCCUAACAGACUCCCUGGCCGAGCUGACACAGCUGGUCUUGGAGCUGGUGUUGGAGUCUCCCAUGCUCCUUGUCCUGGGAGACCUCAACAUCCCCUUCAAGUCCAGCUUAUUAGAUCUGAUAGGUGCAGCUCGGUUGUUCAUGGUUUCCAUGACCACCAUGGGCCUGUCCCAAUUAGUCUUAGGUCCAACACGUUAUGCCGGUGAUACACUCAAUGUGGUCUUUAGUACAGAUCAGGAAUAUCCGUGGGCGGAGGUAACUCAUACCUCUGCUCUGUCAUGGAUGGAUCACUUUCUGGUCAAGGUGGGACUUAAGGCCACUACUCAGACCCCCCCUCGGGGAUGGAGAACCUGUUAGGAUGGUCCGCCCUCAAAGGCUGAUGGAACAAAAAAAUAUAAUUGUAUGAGUAAGAGAAUGGAACUACACACCCUCCAACAUUCCACAGAUGAAAACGGACAUGUGUGACCUGUUAAUGAGCUAUUAAUAAGGAAGAACACCCAAGCUAGGAAAGGCUGCAGCAGCUUGCUUUUGCCUUAGCUUACUGGGAAGGGCAAGAAUCCACCUUUCCCCUCUACUUUCCCCCUACUAAGCUAAUGGAGUGCAAACUACUUUUGCACUUGGAACUCCACAGCUGAAAUAAGCUGAGGAGAAAGGGGGGAAGUAGGAGGAAGAGAGAGAAAGUAUGAUAUUCUAAAAGCACCAGACAGAGUGGGACAACAGAGUUGUCUUUGCCUAUUCUCCCACCCUGGGG